rnacentral:rRNA from 1 species
GAUGAACGCUGACAGAAUGCUUAACACAUGCAAGUCUUUGGCGAAGCUGUGCUUGCACAGCCUAGCCAAGGCGGACGGGUGAGUAACGCGUAAGGAACUUGCCCUGCAGUCAGGGAUAACAGACGGAAACGACUGAUAAGACCUGGUAAAGUCAGGCGGACUCAUGUCCAGCCUGAUGAAAAGAGAUGCUGCAGGAGAGCCUUGCGUCCUAUUAGCUUGUUGGUGGGGUAACGGCCCACCAAGGCGAUGAUAGGUAGCCGGCCUGAGAGGGUGGACGGCCACAAGGGGACUGAGAUACGGCACUUACUCCUACGGGAGGCAGCAGUGGGGAAUAUUGGACAAUGGGGGCAACCCUGAUCCAGCAAUUCUGUGUGCACGAUGAAGGUUUUCGGAUUGUAAAGUGCUUUCAGCAGGGAAGAAAAAAUGACGGUACCUGCAGAAGAAGCGACGGCUAAAUACGUG